AAUCGGAUUGGCAUCCGAUUCUAGUUUAGGCCGUCCCUUCGGGACU
rnacentral:sRNA from 1 species